rnacentral:rRNA from 1 species
UUUGGUUAAUACCCAAGAUGAGUGGACGUUACUCGCAGAAUAAGCACCGGCUAACUCUGUGCCAGCAGCCGCGGUAAUACAGAGGGUGCAAGCGUUAAUCGGAUUUACUGGGCGUAAAGCGCGCGUAGGCGGCCAAUUAAGUCAAAUGUGAAAUCCCCGAGCUUAACUUGGGAAUUGCAUUCGAUACUGGUUGGCUAGAGUGUGGGAGAGGAUGGUAGAAUUCCAGGUGUAGCGGUGAAAUGCGUAGAGAUCUGGAGGAAUACCGAUGGCGAAGGCAGCCAUCUGGCCUAACACUGACGCUGAGGUGCGAAAGCAUGGGGAGCAAACAGGAUUAGAUACCCUGGUAGUCCAUGCCGUAAACGAUGUCUACUAGCCGUUGGGGCCUUUGAGGCUUUAGUGGCGCAGCUAACGCGAUAAGUAGACCGCCUGGGGAGUACGGUCGCAAGACUAAAACUCAAAUGAAUUGACGGGGGCCCGCACAAGCGGUGGAGCAUGUGGUUUAAUUCGAUGCAACG